AAAGCCCAGUGAUUGUGUAAGACAGGAUACGGUGCUAUCGGAAUAAUGUCGUGUAGUGUUACCACUGUCUGCCCGAGAUACGGCAAGACUUUAUGGCAGUAGUCUGACAUAGUUCAGUCGUGAAAGACCAAAUUUGUCUUUUGUAGUCUGAUCCAGCCAUUAAAGGGACAGCUUGAGUAAAUGAGCAGUUCUGUGUGAAAUGUACUGACGCGGAAUUCCAAGUAGAAGUCAAUCCACAGAUUUGUCAGCUGCACAGGUGUUGGGUGAGAUAGAUCCAACAACACCCAAGAGUCACACAUCGCACCAUUUUGUGUUGAACGUGAUUUUAUGUCAUACCAGACACUGGUCCAGACGUCAUCAUACAUCUAAUUAUCUAUUUACCGAAGGUGUGUAGCUGUGUUCUGAAUUGUUGGAUCCUGUGUAAAUAAAUGCCAUCCCUACCGUUA